GGAAUUUCAUGGAGUAAAAGACAUCAAAAUCAUCACCUCCACCACCCUCCUCCACCGCCCCUUCUGCCGCCGCCGUCUUCUUCUAUUGCUCCGCCCUUUCCUUCUCUAUCUCCACCACCACUGCCACCUCCCCACCCAACCUACUCAGUUCCUACAACUUCUACAACACCUCAUCCUUCCCGAAACCCUUAUCCUUUACUAACCCCUCCUCCCCCGCCCAACUACCCGCCUCCUUCCAAUUCAAACUACCAUUUUAGUUUCAGUCAGUCCAGUUAUGGUACUAGACCUGUACUCUAUCAAAAUCAGUAUCCUCCUUAUUAUCAUCAUCCUCACAGUAAUAACGGAUGGGGUGGAUUUCGGCCUCCGCCGCCUCCUCCACCGCCGUUGCCGGCGGUGCCGUAUGUGGAUCAUCAAAAUGCGAAGAAGAUUAAGAAUGAUGUUAAUGUUCAUAAGGAUACUAUCAGGGUUCAUGUUGACGAAUUCAAUAAGGAUUUUCAUUUGGUUUCGUUUACUUUCGAUGCGCUUGUUGAUGGAAGUAUCACCAUUUUCUACUUUGCUAAGGAGGGACCCAACUGCAAAUUCAAUCCAGUAUAUCCUGAAAUCAAGCCUGUUCAAAUACCAUUUGUAAAAGGACUGGGCCAAAAGUUUUCCCAGCCUUCUGGAACUGGAAUUGACCUGGGAUUUUUUGAUGUCAAUGACCUAUCAAAGCCUCUCCAAGGAGAAGAAAUUUUCCCCCUUGUUAUAUCAGCUGAGUCAUCUCUGUCAUCAACACCACUGGAUGAGAAGUAUGUUGGGCAGUCACUGGAAAACUCUGCCCAUUCACAGAUAACUGAAGCCGUGCUAGUCAAGAAUAAUGAGGAUCAUUUUCAAGUGAAAGUGAUCAAGCAGAUUUUGUGGAUUGAAGGAGUUCGCUAUGAGCUUAGAGAGAUUUAUGGGAUCAACAAUUCAGAGGAAACUAAUGUCAAUGAUGAGGAGUCAGGAAAAGAAUGUGUAAUUUGCAUGACUGAGCCGAAAGACACAGCAGUUUUGCCAUGUAGACAUAUGUGUUUGUGUGGUGAGUGUGCCAAAGAACUGAGGCAUCAAUCAAAUAAGUGCCCCAUAUGCCGCCAACCCAUUGAGGAACUUCUGGAGAUUAAGGUCAAAGAAGCGGCAUCAUAAGCUGGGAUACGGUGACAGUCGAAGGUUUGUGUUAUUGGUGUACUAUUCAGUGUGUGAUUGUAUAGCACAGAGAUUGUAUAUAAUACGGUGAAUAAUACAAAGUUUUUGUCACGAUUUUCAUCUUUUUCUGAAAGGAAAUUUUUAUAGACUUCAUCCCUCUAUUUCUUGAGUUAAAUGGGUUGAGGACCCCAUUGUCUUUCCUCUUUUGCAUUUCCCGUUUUCAUAUGUGAUGGAGAAAA
rnacentral:misc_RNA from 1 species